GACAAUGUAGCCAAGUGAUUACGGCGAUUGAUUAGAAAUUAAUUCUUCUUUGAGGGCAUAGGUUCAGAUCCUGCCAUUGUCG
rfam:Sphaerobolus stellatus SS14 unplaced genomic scaffold SPHSTscaffold_194, whole genome shotgun sequence.